rnacentral:misc_RNA from 1 species
GAUGAAGAACGUAGCGAAAUGCGAUAAGUAAUGUGAAUUGCAGAAUUCAGUGAAUCAUCGAAUCUUUGAACGCACCUUGCGCCCCUUGGUUAUUCCAAAGGGCAUGCCUGUUUGAGUAUCAUGAACACCUCAACUCUUGUGGUUUCCCACAAUGAGCUUGGACUGUGGAGGUUUUGUUGGCCCUGUGGUCAGCUCCUCUCAAAUGGAUCAGCUUACCGGUGUUUGGUGGCAUUACGGGUGUGAUAACUAUCUACGCUCGUGGUCGUCUCCGAAUAACCUCCAGUGAUGGAGGUUCGCUGGAGCUUAUAAAUGUCUCUCCCCAGUGAAGACAGCCUUUGAACGUUCGAUCUCAAAUCAGGUAGGACUACCCGCUGAACUUAAGCAUAUCAAUAAGCGGAGGA